AGUGAACGCUGGCGGUAGGCCUAACACAUGCAAGUCGAACGGCAGCACAGUAAGAGCUUGCUCUUACGGGUGGCGAGUGGCGGACGGGUGAGGAAUACAUCGGAAUCUACUUUUUCGUGGGGGAUAACGUAGGGAAACUUACGCUAAUACCGCAUACGACCUACGGGUGAAAGCAGGGGAUCUUCGGACCUUGCGCGAUUGAAUGAGCCGAUGUCGGAUUAGCUAGUUGGCGGGGUAAAGGCCCACCAAGGCGACGAUCCGUAGCUGGUCUGAGAGGAUGAUCGGCCACACUGGAACUGAGACACGGUCCAGACUCCUCCGGGAGGCAGCAGUGGGGAAUAUUGGACAAUGGGGGCAAGCCUGAUCCAGCAAUACCGCGUGGGUGAAGAAGGCCUUCGGGUUGUAAAGCCCUUUUGUUGGGAAAGAAAAGCAGCAGGUUAAUACCCCGCUGUUCUGACGGUACCCAAAGAAUAAGCACCGGCUAACUUCGUG
rnacentral:rRNA from 1 species